rnacentral:rRNA from 1 species
UACGAAGGGGGCUAGCGUUGCUCGGAAUUACUGGGCGUAAAGCGCACGUAGGCGGCUUUCUAAGUCGGGGGUGAAAUCCUGGAGCUCAACUCCAGAACUGCCUUCGAUACUGGAGAGCUCGAGUCCGGGAGAGGUGAGUGGAACUGCGAGUGUAGAGGUGAAAUUCGUAGAUAUUCGCAAGAACACCAGUGGCGAAGGCGGCUCACUGGCCCGAUACUGACGCUGGGGUGCGAAAGCGUGGGGAGCAAACAGG